UGCUAUACAUGCAAGUCGAACGAGUUCUCGUUGAUGAUCGGUGCUUGCACCGAGAUUCAACAUGGAACGAGUGGCGGACGGGUGAGUAACACGUGGGUAACCUGCCCUUAAGUGGGGGAUAACAUUUGGAAACAGAUGCUAAUACCGCAUAGAUCCAAGAACCGCAUGGUUCUUGGCUGAAAGAUGGCGUAAGCUAUCGCUUUUGGAUGGACCCGCGGCGUAUUAGCUAGUUGGUGAGGUAAUGGCUCACCAAGGCGAUGAUACGUAGCCGAACUGAGAGGUUGAUCGGCCACAUUGGGACUGAGACACGGCCCAAACUCCUACGGGAGGCAGCAGUAGGGAAUCUUCCACAAUGGACGCAAGUCUGAUGGAGCAACGCCGCGUGAGUGAAGAAGGCUUUCGGGUCGUAAAACUCUGUUGUUGGAGAAGAAUGGUCGGCAGAGUAACUGUUGUCGGCGUGACGGUAUCCAACCAGAAAGCCACGGCUAACUACGUGCCAGCAGCCGCGGUAAUACGUAGGUGGCAAGCGUUAUCCGGAUUUAUUGGGCGUAAAGCGAGCGCAGGCGGUUUUUUAAGUCUGAUGUGAAAGCCCUCGGCUUAACCGAGGAAGCGCAUCGGAAACUGGGAAACUUGAGUGCAGAAGAGGACAGUGGAACUCCAUGUGUAGCGGUGAAAUGCGUAGAUAUAUGGAAGAACACCAGUGGCGAAGGCGGCUGUCUGGUCUGUAACUGACGCUGAGGCUCGAAAGCAUGGGUAGCGAACAGGAUUAGAUACCCUGGUAGUCCAUGCCGUAAACGAUGAAUGCUAGGUGUUGGAGGGUUUCCGCCCUUCAGUGCCGCAGCUAACGCAUUAAGCAUUCCGCCUGGGGAGUACGACCGCAAGGUUGAAACUCAAAGGAAUUGACGGGGGCCCGCACAAGCGGUGGAGCAUGUGGUUUAAUUCGAAGCAACGCGAAGAACCUUACCAGGUCUUGACAUCUUUUGAUCACCUGAGAGAUCAGGUUUCCCCUUCGGGGGCAAAAUGACAGGUGGUGCAUG
rnacentral:rRNA from 2 species